UACGUAGGUGGCAAGCGUUGUCCGGAAUUAUUGGGCGUAAAGCGCGCGCAGGCGGUCCUUUAAGUCUGAUGUGAAAGCCCACGGCUCAACCGUGGAGGGUCAUUGGAAACUGGGGGACUUGAGUACAGAAGAGAAGAGUGGAAUUCCACGUGUAGCGGUGAAAUGCGUAGAGAUCAGGAGGAACACCCGGGGCGAAGGCGGCCCUCUGGCUCGACCCUGACGCUGAGGCGCGAAAGCGUGGGGAGCGAACGGG
rnacentral:rRNA from 1 species